UGUUUGUUGUUGUUGCUGCUCUUCGAUGCUGCCUUCUUCUUUCUUCCUGUUGGAUGUGUAUUAUUUUACCUUUGAAAAUUGGAAUGCUAUGUAAUAUGUAUUUUUAUGGCUUUGAGAAUUAUUUUAUAAUUUGCCUUAGUUACUUUUUUAAAAAAAAUUCUUUAUCUUAAUACUUACAUGCUACGAAUCAUUGGUCUAUAUUAAUUUAUCUAUUUUUACUGAGACUGUGAGCCUUACUUUAAUAAAGUCUGCUCCUCGCCUUGUGCCUAAGCCCCAAGAGACAUUUGGUGCCUUGGUUCGCCUUGAGCCUUUAAAAACACUGGACUUGAAGUUCUUGAAUGAAUUUCUGUUUUGGCAGACAUUGAACUAUGUUUAUUUGUUCUUCUGCUGGUUUUUUCCUUGCAAUUCCAAGCAUAUAUUAUAUGUGUCUGGUGCAAUGAUUUCUCUACAAUUAACUUUUUUAUUCAAUGUUGGAUGGUAAACCAUAUUAUCGGGCCAUACAAGCAUACAAACCUGUGAAUCAAUGCUAGAAAAUUAUUAUUCCAGUUUGAGGGUCCAAAUUUUGGCUGCCUAGCAUCUUAAUGAUCCAAACUAUCUUGAAUGGAUGGUAAGCACUAGCUGGAUUACAUGAUUGUGUUUUUCUUCUUUUGUAGAGCUAUACUUGCAUAUGAGACUAUUUGAGACCUACCUAAUAAUUGUAUUUUUUUAUUUUGAAAGGAAGAUAGAUUUAUGUCACCAUAAAGAUCUGAGCGCACUACUAGAAUGUUUUAGAAUAACUGCUUCUAAUUUUAUAUACUAUAUUCCUUGGAUUUAACAAAGUUCAAAACAUAGAAGCAACCUCUUUGUAUGUGGGGUAAGGUUGUGUACAUUUGAUUCUCCCCAAACUGCAUAGUUGCAUGCGGGAGGUCUUGCAUUGCGCUAUGAUUCAUUUAAUUCACUUUUUAUGAAGGCCAUCAAUUCUUCUCUAUAUUCUCACAAGUUUGGUUUGAUUUACACUCGCAACAUCAAGCUUAAGGAGUGAGUUAUUAGUUUCCUUUUUUAUGUAAAUUUAAUUUAAAUCAUAGUUGUGGAUAAUUUUUACCCCUGUAUUUGUAGAAUAUGCUAGUUCUUAAAGCAGAAGAAUUUGUGGCCAUUGAACCCUUGAGGGAGGCAUCACAUUAUCAGCUUAGUACACUCAAAUUCUUGAUAUGUGGGCAUGGGCAACAAAGAAGAGCAAUCAUUGAGGCUGUGAGGCUAUUGGGAAAUGGAAAGAAUAGGCAAAAUCAAGAUGCUCAUAGACAUGAUGAAGAGUUAAAGAUGUAAAUUCUCCACAAUAUUUCAAAGAUAAGUCAAAGAAGUGGCAGAAGUUUGUAGCUCAAGCCAAAGCUUCUGGAAAGACUCCUGAAGAUUGCCAUAAAGUGGGUGAUGCCAUAGGGGCGGCAAUUCUUCAAAACUACAAUGACAUAUUAAGAACUUGUAAUGCUCUGGACUACCAUGACUUAAUCAACUGUUCAGUGAAGCUGCACAGUGAUUUUCCUGAAGUAUUUAAGGAGUGCCAGGAGUCAUGGAAAGCAAUUGUGAUAGAUAAAUUUCAUAUUUCACUUCUUGUGAUAAGUUUUGGAAUGAAUGCUUUUUAAAUAUGUUUCCUUUUCAUUGAUCGUGUGCAAAUUUUGACAGGUUAGAUUAAAUAAGAAUUAUCGGUCCACCCGCUGUAUCGUUGAAGCUGCAUCAUCUCUUAUAAAAAAUAAUUUGAACCGAGGCCAGCUAAAGAAUGUUCUCACUGAUAAUUCUUGUGGAUCUAAGAUUUCUGUAAAGGAAUGUUGUAAUGAGGUUGCACAGUGUGCAUUUGUUGUUGAUAAGAUCUUAGAAAUUACAUCUGAAGGUUCAUCUGCUAAGU